GAGCGGUGAUGACGACUGUGCUACUGUGACGGUUGGGUCUGUCACGAUCAUCUGAAUUCAGAUGAUAAAUCGCACGACUGAGCUC